AAACUUUGGUGAAUGUUUGUGGUGAAUAUCCAUCAAUAUUCUCCAAAGUCUGU
ensembl:miRNA